UGGGGAAUAUUGCACAAUGGGCGCAAGCCUGAUGCAGCCAUGCCGCGUGUCUGAAGAAGGCCUUCGGGUUGUAAAGUACUUUCAGCGGGGAGGAAGGGAUUAAAGUUAAUACCUUUGCUCAUUGACGUUACCCGCAGAAGAAGCACCGGCUAACUCCGUGCCAGCAGCCGCGGUAAUACGGAGGGUGCAAGCGUUAAUCGGAAUUACUGGGCGUAAAGCGCACGCAGGCGGUUUGUUAAGUCAGAUGUGAAAUCCCCGGGCUCAACCUGGGAACUGCAUCUGAUACUGGCAAGCUUGAGUCGCGUAGAGGGGGGUAGAAUUCCAGGUGUAGCGGUGAAAUGCGUAGAGAUCUGGAGGAAUACCGGUGGCGAAGGCGGCCCCCUGGACGAAGACUGACGCUCAGGUGCGAAAGCGUGGGGAGCAAACAGG
rnacentral:rRNA from 1 species